rnacentral:rRNA from 1 species
UACGUAGGGUGCAAGCGUUGUCCGGAAUUAUUGGGCGUAAAGGGCGCGUAGGCGGUUUGUCGCGUCGGGAGUGAGAUCAUCUGGCUUAACUGGGUGCUUGCUUUCGAUACGGGCAGACUAGAGGUAUGCAGGGGAGAACGGAAUUCCUGGUGUAGCGGUGAAACGCGCAGAUAUCAGGAGGAACACCGGUGGCGAAGGCGGUUCUCUGGGCAUGAUCUGACGCUGAGGAGCGAAAGUGUGGGGAGCGAACAGG